GCCUGGGGGGAUGGUUGAGGUACUGUGAAAAUGCAUUAUUACUGCCCCAGGCAUCCAAUUACAUAUAUAAGUUGCAUGUUCUAAUUAAAUUUUCCUAAUGUAAUGUCGGCUUUGCCCGCUGCUAUUAAUUAUUGAAGCCACGUUCAGCUUAGGUGGAUUUUCCUCUCCCGCCUCACCUUCCAUUCACUCUUCACUCCUGGCUGCCCUUCGGCUGGCUGCAAACUCCCUGAGGAUGGGUCCUCUUUGAGCAAAGGCACCCACCGUGAGGCUCCCCUGUUGGACAGAGGAGGAGUCACCCAUAGGAGGAGAAGCAAGCAUCACCAGGCUGCUUCGUAACGAACACGUUAAGCACAAUGAUGGUAAUGGAAGGUACUCCAAAACAUCAGUGCACUUCCCUGCACUCUCUCCCAAGAGGCUUGUUUGCUCCCUUCUCACCAUCACCCACUCCCUGACCUAAAAAGGUGGUAACUACUCCCUCAGAAGGUUGAAGACUGUGGUCAGAUCCCAAGACGCAAGCAUGCAGGUGGAUCUGGCAGAGGGACGUUCCCAAGCCCCUGAAAUCAGACUUUAAAAUGUGCUGUGGAGGAAGGAAAGGUGGGGACCGGAGAAAGAACAUGGAACCAGGCCUGGAGCUUUUUCUGCUGGUGGCCAUCCUGGGAGCUGCCCCAAAGCAGCAAGCCUAGCCCUUCGCAAAGGCUCAUCCUGCAGCAAUGCACCUGCCAUGCCCCAGACUCUGCCAUGGCUCUCACCCACAACCAGCCCUCCUUUUGUGGUAAGCAUCCAAGAGCUGCAUAAGACCGAUAUGUUCCUGAGCCCUGGACCGUGCUUGAGGUGUGCCAACAAGCAUAGCUGGAAUGAAUUCCUAUUCACAACAUUAGGAAGAAAGACAUGCCACAUUCUUUAUUUUCUUUAAGCCAAAGUUCAUCUGCAAAUAACCGCCACUAUCCAAGAGACAGCAAAUUCAACUGCAUUCAUUAUUACUCCCCCGACCCCAUGGUAUCUUUAAGGGCCUGGACUCACACGUAGUGGACACCCCACAGAGAUGGGGCCACGAGGGCGGGACCUCAGCCCAAGUCUUCUACUCUACAUGCUGGUCCCCUGAGCUCAAGCUGUCACUCAGCUCCAGGGAAAGGGCUCAGGGCGCCCCUAGCUGCAGUCCAUUCUAGUACAGAGUGACCCACAGGACCCUCUCAGCUGCUCUCCAGGCCAUGGGAAAUAGUGCCUAACUGCCCAACCACCCACAGCAGCUUCUCAUCAGGCAUGCUGCAGCCUAGCCCCAUUCCUGUCCUCAGCAAGAGAGGACGCCCACUGCCAUGGUGUCUGCCAAUUCUUACUUUUGCAAAAGACAAGUCACUAAAACCUCCGUUUUCUAGACACAGAGGCUUAGACCUGCAAAAUGAAAGCUUGGCUGCCAUCCAUAUUGGGAGUGGAAGUAGGGAAACACCAACCAAGAGAUGAGGAAACUGAGGCUUAGGUAAUCAAAGGGACCAAAGAAAAGUCACACAUCAAGUAGGGAACAGAACGGAGCUGAAACAACACAACCUCUGACCGUGAGUGCACAGAUCCCAGCUCUCCUUUAUGCUCUGUGUACUAGCUAUCAGGCAUCACACUCUAGUGAAUGGAUAUGAUUACCAUCAUCCUCACUUUACAGAUGCAUAAACUGAGGCUUGAAAAGGUAGAGUAACUUGACCAAAGUCUCACAGCCAGAAACUGGCAAAUUUGGCACUUGAUCCCAAUCUGAUUAACUCUAAGAUCCGUGUUCUUAACCGCUAUGACAUCUGCCCCUUAGAUGUUUGUCCCAUUAAAUAUGAUAAAAAAUGCUAAUAGUUCCUCACUUCUUUUUUCUCUGCUUGGGGCAUAGAG
rnacentral:lncRNA from 1 species